AGAGUUUGAUCAUGGCUCAGAGCGAACGCUGGCGGCAGGCUUAACACAUGCAAGUCGAACGCUCACCUUCGGGUGGGAGUGGCAGACGGGUGAGUAACACGUGGGAACGUGCCCUUCGGUUCGGGACAACUCAGGGAAACUUGAGCUAAUACCGGAUACGCCCUUCGGGGGAAAGAUUUAUCGCUGAAGGAUCGGCCCGCGUCUGAUUAGCUAGUUGGUGAGGUAAUGGCUCACCAAGGCGACGAUCAGUAGCUGGUCUGAGAGGAUGAUCAGCCACACUGGGACUGAGACACGGCCCAGACUCCUACGGGAGGCAGCAGUGGGGAAUAUUGGACAAUGGGCGCAAGCCUGAUCCAGCCAUGCCGCGUGAGUGAUGAAGGCCUUAGGGUUGUAAAGCUCUUUCGUCCGGGACGAUAAUGACGGUACCGGAAGAAGAAGCCCCGGCUAACUUCGUGCCAGCAGCCGCGGUAAUACGAAGGGGGCUAGCGUUGCUCGGAAUCACUGGGCGUAAAGGGCGCGUAGGCGGCCAUUCAAGUCAGAGGUGAAAGCCCAAGGCUCAACCUUGGAAUUGCCUUUGAUACUGUUUGGCUUGAGACCGGAAGAGGUUAGUGGAACUGCGAGUGUAGAGGUGAAAUUCGUAGAUAUUCGCAAGAACACCAGUGGCGAAGGCGGCUAACUGGUCCGGUUCUGACGCUGAGGCGCGAAAGCGUGGGGAGCAAACAGGAUUAGAUACCCUAGUAGUCC
rnacentral:rRNA from 1 species